GUCCAAGCCGCCUUUUCAAACUUGUAAUAGAAUAUAUAACACCAAAUUAAGCCCGUAGUUCUGGCAUAAACCAGCAACAUCAGGACAAUAGUGCUUACCACAUAUUGCAAAAUAUAACUUUCCAUUCUUUGGACUAAUUAGAAAGGCAGCCAGUAGCACCAGUAUGGUUCUGUCAGCAUUUCCACAAUAAAACCCCCUUUUCAGGGCUUUAUAACCCGGCUGUAAAAAAUUAGCUUCAGGCUGCAGCUUGGCAUGCCUUGGUUCACCCCAGCAGCACGUCGAGCUGUACAUGUGGUUAUGUGUGUGGUUUGUUGAUUGUUUCCUAAAUACAAAUUUUCAUUUAAAUUAGUUUUGCUACUUCUUGGAAGACAGUAAUAAAAGGAACCAAUGUUUAAAUGAGUGCAGUUACAUUCUUUGGCAGUCUCUCGCAGCGAGUUAAUUGUUAAAAGUAUGAAUGUUUGAGGUGAGAAGCAUACAGCCUCGUGACACUUUUUUGUUUUAAAUUAAACCAUCUCAAGGAAAGUUUGAAAGCAGGUUUCUGCACUUGCACAUUGAUCUUAUUUCACAGAGCGUGAUCCUGACUCCAGGAGAGACAUCAUCCAGCAGCUUUGAUGGAAAGGGCCCCGCAAGAGCAGCUCAAAUGAGGGCGCAGCCUCACUGUGGUCUGUAGAAAUGCCUCAGUCCGGAUACCUGCUACCAUGCAGCUGGAAAUACUGUGGCAUGGAGAGAAAAGUGGAAGUGGAAAGGAGAUCAGAAAGGCUGGUUGCACACAACCUGACUGAACAGGAACCCAAAGUCUGCUGUCAGUGGCUUUGCUGAGAUCACAGGAGUAAUGGAAGACAAAAAUCAAACUACAUCCUGGCUGCACAGUGCUGGCUACUCGAGGAAAUGCAAGCAUCAGGCUGGAAUCGGAAGUGGCACAAGAGGUAACAGAACGGCGCUAUUAUUUACUAUCACCUCUAGCAAAAUGAGUUUUUCCGCCUUCUGUCGCUUGAAUACUCAGUGAGUACCAGGUCUCUUGGAAAUACCCGGCUGAUCCGAGCUGAAACUGGAAGGCUUUGACACGCUAGCAGAAAGCCACGCAUCGCUUUGCCUCAUUCUGGAACAGGCAUCUUUUAUCUUCCUGAACUUCGGGUACCCAGGCUCAGACCAAAGACGGCCCUCCCUCCCAGGUGCCUACCCAGAAAAUAAAUAAAUAAAUAAAUAAAUAAAUGAAAAGGAC
rnacentral:lncRNA from 1 species